AACGAACGCUGGCGGCAUGCCUAACACAUGCAAGUCGAACGAGACCUUCGGGUCUAGUGGCGCACGGGUGCGUAACGCGUGGGAACCUGCCCUUAGGUUCGGAAUAACUCCCCGAAAGGGGUGCUAAUACCGGAUCAUGUCUUCGGACCAAAGAUUUAUCGCCUUUGGAUGGGCCGGCGUUGGAUUAGCUAGUUGGUAGGGUAAAAGCCUACCAAGGCGACGAUCCAUAGCUUGUUUGAGAGGAUGAUCAGCCACACUGGGACUGAGACACGGCCCAGACUCCUACGGGAGGCAGCAGUGGGGGAUAUUGGACAAUGGGGGAAAGCCUGAUAGAGCAAUGCCGGGUGAGUGAUGAAGGCCGUAGGGUUGUAAAGCUCAUUUAACCGGGAUGAUAAUGACAGUACCGGGAGAAUAAGCUACGGCUAACUCCGUG
rnacentral:rRNA from 1 species